UGCAAGUCGAGCGGACCGACGGGAGCUUGCUCCCUUAGGUCAGCGGCGGACGGGUGAGUAACACGUGGGUAACCUGCCUGUAAGACUGGGAUAACUCCGGGAAACCGGGGCUAAUACCGGAUGCUUGAUUGAACCGCAGGUUCAAUCAUAAAAGGGGGCUUUUAACUACCACUUACCGAUGGACCCGCGGCGCAAUAACUAGUUGGUGAGGUAACGGCUCACCAAGGCGACCAUUCGUAACCCACCUGAGAGGGUGAUCGGCCACACUGGGACUGAAACACGGCCCAAACUCCUACCGGAGGCAGCAAUAGGGAAUCUUCCGCAAUGGACGAAAGUCUGACGGAACAAC
rnacentral:rRNA from 1 species